rnacentral:pre_miRNA from 1 species
CGGGGGAGGCCGGAUCCUGGGCUGUGUCCCGGCGCCCUGUGCUCUGGGGCCUGCGCUGUUCGAUUCGGCUCCUGCCCCGCAGCCCCCU